AGACUCAGUCCCAUGCCCAGACCCAGUCUGGUUUCCAAGUGGGCCCAAUCUGACCCUGGACCCAGUCUGGUUUCUAAGUUGGAACCAGUCCAACUCAGGCCAGUUUCUGGACCCAGUCUGGAAAAAGAAAUGCUCAAGUCAAGUCUAGAAGCUCAUAACACAAAAGCUGCGGGGCUGGGAUCCAGGACCUGAGAGGGACUUGCCCACCACCUCCAGAGGCAGCAAAACAGCAGUGAGCUCAAAGGGCUCAACAGUGGGUGAUGGACCUGCAAUGAUCCCUUCUCUUAGCUAUAGCAAGUAUGUGGGCCACCAGCACAGCAUGGCUGCUAACAGAACAGCGUAGGUCUGCACCUGGGAACCGAACCCAGGCCGCCAGAGCAGACUGUGCUGAACUUUACGUAAAGG
rnacentral:lncRNA from 1 species